UUUUUAGUAUAAGUAUAUCCCAUGUAAUAUUGAGGUCAUAUUUAUACUAAAA
rnacentral:pre_miRNA from 1 species